rnacentral:rRNA from 1 species
CAGGCUUAACACAUGCAAGUCGAGGGGCAGCGGGGGUAGCGAUACCCGCCGGCGACCGGCGCACGGGUGAGUAACGCGUAUGCAACUUGCCUAUCAGAGGGGGAUAACCCGGCGAAAGUCGGACUAAUACCGCAUGAAGCAGGGGCCCCGCAUGGGGAUAUUUGCUAAAGAUUCAUCGCUGAUAGAUAGGCAUGCGUUCCAUUAGGCAGUUGGCGGGGUAACGGCCCACCAAACCGACGAUGGAUAGGGGUUCUGAGAGGAAGGUCCCCCACAUUGGUACUGAGACACGGACCAAACUCCUACGGGAGGCAGCAGUGAGGAAUAUUGGUCAAUGGCCGAGAGGCUGAACCAGCCAAGUCGCGUGAGGGAUGAAGGUUCUAUGGAUCGUAAACCUCUUUUAUAAGGGAAUAAAGUGCGGGACGUGUCCCGUUUUGUAUGUACCUUAUGAAUAAGGAUCGGCUAACUCCGUGCCAGCAGCCGCGGUAAUACGGAGGAUCCGAGCGUUAUCCGGAUUUAUUGGGUUUAAAGGGUGCGUAGGCGGCCUUUUAAGUCAGCGGUGAAAGUCUGUGGCUCAACCAUAGAAUUGCCGUUGAAACUGGGGGGCUUGAGUAUGUUUGAGGCAGGCGGAAUGCGUGGUGUAGCGGUGAAAUGCAUAGAUAUCACGCAGAACCCCGAUUGCGAAGGCAGCCUGCCAAGCCAUUACUGACGCUGAUGCACGAAAGCGUGGGGAUCAAACAGGAUUAGAUACCCUGGUAGUCCACGCAGUAAACGAUGAUCACUAGCUGUUUGCGAUACACUGUAAGCGGCACAGCGAAAGCGUUAAGUGAUCCACCUGGGGAGUACGCCGGCAACGGUGAAACUCAAAGGAAUUGACGGGGGCCCGCACAAGCGGAGGAACAUGUGGUUUAAUUCGAUGAUACGCGAGGAACCUUACCCGGGUUUGAACGCAUUCGGACCGAGGUGGAAACACCUUUUCUAGCAAUAGCCGUUUGCGAGGUGCUGCAUGGUUGUCGUCAGCUCGUGCCGUGAGGUGUCGGCUUAAGUGCCAUAACGAGCGCAACCCUUGCCACUAGUUACUAACAGGUAAAGCUGAGGACUCUGGUGGGACUGCCAGCGUAAGCUGCGAGGAAGGCGGGGAUGACGUCAAAUCAGCACGGCCCUUACAUCCGGGGCGACACACGUGUUACAAUGGCGUGGACAAAGGGAAGCCACCUGGCGACAGGGAGCGAAUCCCCAAACCACGUCUCAGUUCGGAUCGGAGUCUGCAACCCGACUCCGUGAAGCUGGAUUCGCUAGUAAUCGCGCAUCAGCCAUGGUGCGGUGAAUACGUUCCCGGGCCUUGUACACACCGCCCGUCAAGCCAUGGGAGCCGGGGGUACCUGAAGUCCGUAACCGAAAGGAUCGGCCUAGGGUAAAACUGGUGACUGGGGC